rnacentral:rRNA from 1 species
GAUGAACGCUGGCGGCGUGCUUAACACAUGCAAGUCGAACGAUGAAGCCCAGCUUGCUGGGUGGAUUAGUGGCGAACGGGUGAGUAACACGUGAGUAACCUGCCCUUAACUCUGGGAUAAGCCUGGGAAACUGGGUCUAAUACCGGAUAGGAGCGUCCACCGCAUGGUGGGUGUUGGAAAGAUUUAUCGGUUUUGGAUGGACUCGCGGCCUAUCAGCUUGUUGGUGGGGUAUUGGCUCACCAAGGCGACGACGGGUAGCCGGCCUGAGAGGGUGACCGGCCACACUGGGACUGAGACACGGCCCAGACUCCUACGGGAGGCAGCAGUGGGGAAUAUUGCACAAUGGGCGAAAGCCUGAUGCAGCGACGCCGCGUGAGGGAUGACGGCCUUCGGGUUGUAAACCUCUUUCAGUAGGGAAGAAGCGAAAGUGACGGUACCUGCAGAAGAAGCACCGGCUAACUACGUG